rnacentral:rRNA from 1 species
GAUGAACGCUGGCGGCGUGCCUAAUACAUGCAAGUAGAACGCUGAAGGAAGGAGCUUGCUCUUUCCGGAUGAGUUGCGAACGGGUGAGUAACGCGUAGGUAACCUGCCUGGUAGCGGGGGAUAACUAUUGGAAACGAUAGCUAAUACCGCAUAACAGUAGAUGUUGCACGAUAUCUACUUAAAAGGUGCAAUUGCACCACUACCAGAUGGACCUGCGUUGUAUUAGCUAGUUGGUGAGGUAACGGCUCACCAAGGCGACGAUACAUAGCCGACCUGAGAGGGUGAUCGGCCACACUGGGACUGAGACACGGCCCAGACUCCUACGGGAGGCAGCAGUAGGGAAUCUUCGGCAAUGGACGGAAGUCUGACCGAGCAACGCCGCGUGAGUGAAGAAGGUUUUCGGAUCGUAAAGCUCUGUUGUAAGAGAAGAACGAGUGUGAGAGUGGAAAGUUCACACUGUGACGGUAUCUUACCAGAAAGGGACGGCUAACUACGUG